AGUGAACGCUGGCGGUAGGCCUAACACAUGCAAGUCGAACGGCAGCACAGUAAGAGCUUGCUCUUACGGGUGGCGAGUGGCGGACGGGUGAGGAAUACAUCGGAAUCUACUUUUUCGUGGGGAUAACGUAGGGAAACUUACGCUAAUACCGCAUACGACCUACGGGUGAAAGCAGGGGAUCCUCGGACCUUGCGCGAUUGAAUGAGCCGAUGUCGGAUUAGCUAGUUGGCGGGGUAAAGGCCCACCAAGGCGACGAUCCGUAGCUGGUCUGAGAGGAUGAUCAGCCACACUGGAACUGAGACACGGUCCAGACUCCUACGGGAGGCAGCAGUGGGGAAUAUUGGACAAUGGGCGCAAGCCUGAUCCAGCCAUACCGCGUGGGUGAAGAAGGCCUUCGGGUUGUAAAGCCCUUUUGUUGGGAAAGAAAAGCAGCAGGUUAAUACCCCGCUGUUCUGACGGUACCCAAAGAAUAAGCACCGGCUAACUUCGUG
rnacentral:rRNA from 1 species